UAGCUCAGUGGUUUGAGCGCGGUCCUGACAACAAUAAGGACACCGAGAUCGCGGGUUCAAUUCCCGC
rnacentral:tRNA from 1 species